ACUCCCAAACCCCUGUGAACAUACCACUUGUUGCCUCGGCGGAUCAGCCCGCUCCCGGUAAAACGGGACGGCCCGCCAGAGGACCCCUAAACUCUGUUUCUAUAUGUAACUUCUGAGUAAAACCAUAAAUAAAUCAAAACUUUCAACAACGGAUCUCUUGGUUCUGGCAUCGAUGAAGAACGCAGCAAAAUGCGAUAAGUAAUGUGAAUUGCAGAAUUCAGUGAAUCAUCGAAUCUUUGAACGCACAUUGCGCCCGCCAGUAUUCUGGCGGGCAUGCCUGUUCGAGCGUCAUUUCAACCCUCAAGCACAGCUUGGUGUUGGGACUCGCGUUAAUUCGCGUUCCUCAAAUUGAUUGGCGGUCACGUCGAGCUUCCAUAGCGUAGUAGUAAAACCCUCGUUACUGGUAAUCGUCGCGGCCACGCCGUUAAACCCCAACUUCUGAAUGUUGACCUCGGAUCAGGUAGGAAUACCCGCUGAACUUAAGCAUAUCAAUAAGCGGAGGA
rnacentral:rRNA from 1 species